UGAGUACAUUCAAGACUAGACUAUCUGAAACCAUGAAGGGUCACAAUACAGGAGAUGCAUUUCACUGUAUUAUAACAUUAUUACUUUGAGAUGUACAGAGGUUAUAGUAACAUACCGAAGAUUUUACAAACUCUUGGAUAUGGGGUCCACAUACCUUCUGAAAUGUGUCUGAACAUUCUCCAGCCUUCAACUGCAUUUCAACCAGCAGCAUUUCAGUAGACAGAAGAGAAAGGUGGAUCUGCACUUGAUGCACAGCAAUAAUACAGAUGUGGUGGUAACCGAGCAGUUCCCUGAGUGCCAGACGAUCAGUCAACAGAGGAGGCUGCUACAGCUUUGAAGAUAAUGGAAGCGGCCACAAGCCAAGGAAAGCCGGUGGCCUCUGCAAGCUAGAAAAAGCAAGGAAAUUGAUCCUUCCCUGAGCCUACAGAAAGGAAUGCAGUCCUGCUGACACCUUGAUGCUAGCCUCACGAGAUCCAUGUUAGACUUCUGACCUACAGAACUCCAGAAACGCAUGCUGAAAUAUUCAUCUUUUUAAGGACAUCAUUUAAAUAGCAAAAAAGUCACCAAAUAAUCUCUAUGCAUGUGAAAAUAAGUUGUAAAAACUGCAUGUGGAAGAAAUUCAUCUUCUAGACAAAAAGCCUACCAUCACCACUGAAAUAACAUGACAAAUAUGUGUCAAAUAGCAAUGACAGAUGCAGGCACUUUCUAAAAUAACACAAAAUGAGGGUUCUAGGGACGAAUAAUUUAAUUUGCAUCCCGGGGGGAUGUUUUCAUCUUCUUGUCAAAGAAUUUACAUUCACAACCUGCCACGCACAAUUACAAUAAAGAGAGGUCUGGGAUGUUGUUGUUUGUGUUUCUGUUCUUUUUCACCGGGAAGCAGAGAACAAUAACUUUGGAGUGCUGACCAUAGGAAGCAAAUCAUUCGGAAUGUUUCCCCUUUCACCUUAGCAAAGUAAAUGGUCCAAUUUGCAAAUUCCAGAGGUUUGGGGGAUUACAGUGGCACUAAUGUUCUGGACCAGGGGUCUCUGUUGGCUCAGACCUUUUCAAAUCAGUGUUUGUGUAGUCACUACCCUAUUUCUCCCUUCCCACAGAAACACUUGCACAUGUU
rnacentral:lncRNA from 1 species